GGGGCUGUAGCUCAGUGGCAGAGCAUCUGCUUUCUAUGCAGAAUGACCCAGGUUUGAUCCCUGGCAUCUCUG